CACUCCUACGGGAGGCAGCAGUGGGGAAUAUUGCACAAUGGGCGCAAGCCUGAUGCAGCCAUGCCGCGUGUAUGAAGAAGGCCUUCGGGUUGUAAAGUACUUUCAGCGGGGAGGAAGGCGAUAAGGUUAAUAACCUUGUCGAUUGACGUUACCCGCAGAAGAAGCACCGGCUAACUCCGUGCCAGCAGCCGCGGUAAUACGGAGGGUGCAAGCGUUAAUCGGAAUUACUGGGCGUAAAGCGCACGCAGGCGGUCUGUCAAGUCGGAUGUGAAAUCCCCGGGCUCAACCUGGGAACUGCAUUCGAAACUGGCAGGCUAGAGUCUUGUAGAGUGGGGUAGAAUUCCAGGUGUAGCGGUGAAAUGCGUAGAGAUCUGGAGGAAUACCGGUGGCGAAGGCGGCCCCCUGGACAAAGACUGACGCUCAGGUGCGAAAGCGUGGGGAGCAAACAGGAUUAGAUACCCCUGUAGUCCCAUGA
rnacentral:rRNA from 1 species